AAGGAGAAUGUCAUAUUUAGUAAGAAGUACCUGCUUUAAACAUCAUAGAAAAACCGUAUACAUUAUAAUAGCAAUUGCUUUUCCAAUGUCUUCAUUCCAUGAUCCUGAGCCAAUUCAACAACACGGUUUCAGUUUUUGAGAGCCUGAGGCACUAACCUUGGUUGAUAUAACAUUUUCUUUCCUCUAGAUGUUCAAGCAGUUGCUUAUGAGGAACCAAAACACUGGUGCUCUAUUGUCUACUAUGAGCUCAACAAUCGUGUGGGUGAAGCGUUCCAUGCCUCCUCCACAAGUGUGUUGGUGGAUGGUUUCACUGAUCCUUCCAACAAUAAGAACCGUUUCUGCCUUGGGCUGCUCUCCAAUGUUAACCGGAAUUCCACUAUUGAAAACACCAGGCGGCAUAUUGGAAAAGGAGUUCAUCUUUAUUAUGUUGGAGGGGAGGUGUAUGCCGAAUGCCUUAGUGACAGUAGCAUCUUUGUGCAAAGUCGGAACUGCAACUACCAUCAUGGAUUUCAUCCUACUACUGUUUGCAAGAUCCCUAGUGGG
rnacentral:sRNA from 1 species